CCAGAGCCGGGGAGAGAACCCAGGAGUCCUGGCUCCCAGCCCCCCUGCUCUGACCCACCAGCCCCCACUCCUCUCCCAGAGCCAGGGAGAGAACCCAGGAGUCCUGGCUCCCAGCCCCCCUGCUCUGACCCACCAGCCCCCACUCCCCUCCCAGAGCCGGGGAGAGAACCCAGGAGUCCGGGCUCCCAGCCCCCCUGCUCUAACCACCAGCCCCCACUCCCCUCCCAGAGCUGGGGAGAGAACCCAGGAGUCCUGGCCCCCAGCCUCCCCCCGGCUCUAACCCACCAGCCCCCACUCCCCUCCCAGAGCCAGGGAGAGAACCCAGGAGUCCUGGCUCCCAGCCCCCCUGCUCUGACCACCAGCCCCCACUCCCCUCCCAGAGCUGGGGAGAGAACCCAGGAGUCCUGGCUCCCAGCCCCCCCUGCUCUGACCCACCAGCCCCCACUCCCCUCCCAGAGCUGGGGAGAGAACCCAGGAGUCCUGGCUCCCAGCCCCCCUGCUCUAACCCACCAGCCCCCACUCCCCUCCCAGAGCUGGGGAGAGAACCCAGGAGUCCUGGCUCCCAGCCCCCCUGCUCUAACCACCAGCCCCCACUCCCCUCCCAGAGCUGGGGAGAGAACCCAGGAGUCCUGGCUCCCAGCCCCCCCUGCUCUAACCACCAGCCCCCACUCCCCUCCCAGAGCUGGGGAGAGAACCCAGGAGUCCUGGCUCCCAGCCCCCCCUGCUCUGACCCACCAGCCCCCACUCCCCUCCCAGAGCUGGGGAGAGAACCCAGGAGUCCUGGCUCCCAGCCCCCCUGCUCUAACCCACCAGCCCCCACACCCCUCCCAGAGCCGGGGAGAGAACCCAGGAGUCCUGGCUCCCAGCCCCCCCUGCUCUGACCCACCAGCCCCCCUCCCCUCCCAGAGCUGGGGAGAGAACCCAGGAGUCCUGGCUCCCAGCCCCCCCCCCGCUCUCACCCCCCAGGCCCCACCCCCCUUGCCCACAGGUCUGUUUUCCUAUCAGGUCUCAAGGAAUCCACAGAUCUCUGGGGCUGGAUUUACUGCCCCCCAGGAAGGGGCCCUGAGGCAGACUCCAAUGAAAUGGCUGGUCCAGCCCCAGAGACCUGCCCCCCCUGCAGAAAGAGCUGGGCUGGGGGCAGAAAAUGCUUAUCUGGGAAGCUAAUCAGGCAGGGCUCAGGGUGACUAAUCUAAUUGGUCCACUGAUAAGAUAAGGAGCUCAAGGGAUAUUGAGCCUGUAUUUCCCUGGCUGAGACCUGCAGAGCACAGGCCCAGCUGCCUGUAACUGGCUGCCCCGCCCCAGAGGUGGCUGCAUCUCGGCGCCAGGUGAGGGGUCCCCGGGUAACCCGCCGCCCCGCCCCAGAGGUGGCUGCAUCUCAGCGCCGGGUGAGGGGUCCCUGGGUAACCGGCCGCCCCGCCCCAGAGAUGGGCGCAUCUCAGCACCGGGCGAGGGGUCCCUGGGUAACCGGCCGCCCAGCCCCAGAGAUGGCUGCAUCUCAGCACCAGGCGAGGGGUCCCUGUGUCACCAGCCGCCCCGCCCUAGAGGUGGGCGCAUCUCACUCACUGGAAGACAAGAGAGCAGUUCUGCCAGUCGAAGGGGAAGUAAGUGACUUCAAUAGCAC